GCAGCAUAUCCAGCUGCUGUGGUUCCAGGCUGUUUGGAGACUUUGAAAGCAGUUCAUCUGUGAGAUAAUGAAGAAAGAUAGAAAGAAAAAACAAACAAGGGCACACGUUUAUUGAUGAAACACAUAAAGUCCAAUUGCCAGUGACAAAGAGGACAGGAAUGCAUUUACAGCAGCUCUUUGGAUUUGAGGAAGAUCUGAUGCGCUUGGGCAAAGUUCAUUUCAAUGAAACGAGAACAGGAAAUCAAAUUGACUGAAAAGAUGAACGUGGCAGAGCAGCAUUUUGCCAGAACGUUGUUAAAAAUUACACUGCUGAAGUGGAAUGAGUGGCAGAAAUCCCGUAAGAAGGAAAAAGCUGGUAAUGUGUGGACAGGCUGGCUGGUGGUGACGUCAGACCCUGAAGAACACACAAUACUGAGGGUGAAAUGUGAAUGAAAUGUGC